CCAGGCCUCAUUUAUCCCUUCCACUUUUUGACUUCUUACAUGCUAUUAGGUUGAGAAAUUUUUCUGAUGUCGUCUGUGAUCAUGUGAUGAUCCCCUCAUUGACAUGUUACCAAAACUUGAGUAAGGCAGAAAAAAAUAUCACAGGAUUUUAGAGCAAACUGGCCCCUCAUUGGAUACAGCAAAAAUGAAGUUGUCAUCUCUAUGCUCUAACAUGAAGAAAGCAAGGUUCCCUAUGACUUUACUGGAGGAAUUGCAACUAACAAUAAGAUUAAUAGAAGAUAAGUGAUUACAAUGAGGAGCAACUGUUAACUGAUACUGCCCAUGCAUGUGUGUGUGUAGCUGUAUUAUUGUGUGAUUUUCUUUUUUAUUAUUAUUACAUGAAAUAUUGUAUGUAUUAUCUAUUGUUGUGAUUGAAUCAAUGGGGAUUUGGUUUAUUUUAUAAUAGAAGAAUGUUUUGGUUUAAUCACUGCCAA